UACGUAGGGGGCAAGCGUUGUCCGGAAUCAUUGGGCGUAAAGAGCGUGUAGGCGGCCUGGUAAGUCCGCUGUGAAAGUCCAGGGCUCAACCCUGGAAUGCCGGUGGAAACUGUCAGGCUCGAGUCCGGAAGAGGCGAGUGGAAUUCCUGGUGUAGCGGUGAAAUGCGCAGAUAUCAGGAGGAACACCAAUGGCGAAGGCGACUCUUUGGCCUGUAACUGACACUGAGGCGCGAAAGCGUGGGGAGCAAACAGG
rnacentral:rRNA from 1 species